GGCGAACGGGUGAGUAACACGUGAGGAACCUGCCCCGGACUUUGGGAUAACCCUCGGAAACGGGGGCUAAUACCGAAUACGACACUUCACCGCAUGGUGUGGGUGUGGAAAGUUUUUCGGUCUGGGAUGGUCUCGCGGCCUAUCAGCUUGUUGGUGGGGUAAUGGCCUACCAAGGCGACGACGGGUAGCCGGCCUGAGAGGGCGACCGGCCACACUGGGACUGAGACACGGCCCAGACUCCUACGGGAGGCAGCAGUGGGGAAUAUUGCACAAUGGGCGGAAGCCUGAUGCAGCGACGCCGCGUGAGGGAUGACGGCCUUCGGGUUGUAAACCUCUUUCAGCAGGGACGAAGCCUUUAUCGGUGACGGUACCUGCAGAAGAAGCACCGGCCAACUACGUGCCAGCCGCCGCGG
rnacentral:rRNA from 1 species